CACCCCUUUAAUUAAUUCACCCCCUCUAAUUAAUCCAGUCCACCCUUUAAUUAAUUCACCCCCCUCUAAUUAAUUCACCCCCUCUAAUUAAUCCAGCCCACCCUUUAAUUAAUCCAGCCCACCCUUUAAUUAAUUCAAUUAAUCCCAGACAUAAAAUAUCUAGAGGUACUCACAUUUCAAAGAUUCCACUGGGAGCCUCACCGCCCGGAAAUGGAUCCUUCCGCUGAAGAUCCGUGAAGGCAGACUGACGGCGCUGCAAAAUGUCGUCAUCACGUUGCGCGACGCUCCUCCUACAGCAGAAGAAGGAAGUCUCGCCGCAAAGGUAUGAUGCCUAGGUCUUAUUUUCGGGGUAGGGCUUAUAUUGCAGCCCACCCCGAAAAUCCGACUAGGGCUUAUUUUCGGGGGAGGGUUUAUUUUAGGGGAAACACGGUAUAUAUAAU